rnacentral:rRNA from 1 species
GUAGGGAAUAUUGGGCAAUGGUCGGAAGACUGACCCAGCCAUGCCGCGUGCAGGAAGACGGCCCUCUGGGUUGUAAACUGCUUUUAUCUGGGAAGAAAAAGGCCAUGCGUGGCAAAUUGCCGGUACCAGAUGAAUAAGCACCGGCUAACUCCGUGCCAGCAGCCGCGGUAAUACGGAGGGUGCGAGCGUUGUCCGGAUUUAUUGGGUUUAAAGGGUGCGUAGGCGGCUGAUUAAGUCAGCGGUGAAAGAAUUCGGCUUAAACGGAACAGUGCCGUUGAUACUGGUUGGCUUGAGUGUCGGAGGGGUACAUGGAAUUGAUGGUGUAGCGGUGAAAUGCAUAGAUACCAUCAGGAACACCGAUAGCGAAGGCAUUGUACUGGCCGACAACUGACGCUGAUGCACGAAAGUGUGGGGAUCGAACAGGAUUAGAAACCCCGGUAGUCC